AUAUUGGACAAUGGGGGCAACCCUGAUCCAGCCUUGCAGCGUGUGUGAAGAAGGCCAUCGUUUUGUAAAUCACUUUAUGUUGGGAGGAAGGGCGUUAAGUUAAUACUUUGCUGUCUUGACGUUACCGACAGAAUAAGCACCGGCUAACUUCGUGCCAUCAGCCGCGGUAAUACGAAGGGUGCAAGCGUUAAUCGGAAUUACUGGUCGUAAAUCGGGCGUAGGUGGUUUGUUAAGUUGGAAGUGAAAGCCCCGGGCUCAACCUGGGAACUGCUUUCAAAACUGGCAAGCUAGAGGAUGGCAGAGGGUGGUGGAAUUUCCUGUGUAGCGGUGAAAUGCGUAGAUAUAGGAAGGAACACCAGUGGCGAAGGCGACUACCUGGACUAAUACUGACACUGAGGUGCGAAAGCGUGGGGAGCAAAC
rnacentral:rRNA from 1 species